UAUGGUUAAGUGACUAAGCGUACACGGUGGAUGCCUUGGCAGUCAGAGGCGAUGAAAGGCGUAAUAACUUGCGAUAAGCCCAGAUUAGGUAGUAAUAACCUUUUGAGUCUGGGAUUCCUGAAUGGGGAAACCCACUUACAUAAGUAAGUAUCCUGUUGUGAAUACAUAGCAACAGGAGGCAAACCGGGGGAACUGAAACA
rnacentral:rRNA from 1 species